rnacentral:rRNA from 1 species
ACUCAAAUGAAUAGACGGGGGCCCGCACAAGCGGUGGAGCAUGUGGUUUAAUUCGACGCAACGCGAAGAACCUUACCUGGGCUCGAACGGCUGCGGAAGAUUGGUGGAAACACCGGUUGCCCCGCAAGGGGCCGUAGUCGAGGUGCUGCAUGGCUGUCGUCAGCUCGUGUCGUGAGAUGUUGGGUUAAGUCCCGCAACGAGCGCAACCCUUGUCCUGUUUUGGCAUGUCUUUCAAAGGACGCAACUAUCAGGAGACCGCCAGCGAUAAGUUGGAGGAAGGUGGGGAUGACGUCAAGUCAUCAUGGCCUUUAUGUCCAGGGCUACACACGUGCUACAAUGGACGGUACAAAGCGCUGCCAACCCGCGAGGGGGAGCUAAUCGCAAAAAACCGUCCUCAGUUCGGAUUGCAGGCUGCAACUCGCCUGCAUGAAGCUGGAAUCGCUAGUAAUGGCAUAUCAGAACGAUGCCGUGAAUACGUUCCCGGGCCUUGUACACACCGCCCGU